AAACCCAACAGCAAGGGGCUGGAUCGACUCCCUCUUCUCAGCCUCCCAACACCGGCGGUGAGGACCGCCGUUACCUACAAUAACAGAAAAAGCACAACACAGUCGAUUUUAAUUUUUGUUUUUUUCGUUUUGCAGAGCUGCUUCGGUUUUUCUUCUUCUCGGUUUCGGUUCUAAAUUCUUUCCCCAGAUCGGUCUGUUAUGGGUUUCUUCUUCGUCUCCGGUGGUAGAUCGUCGUGGAGGAGGAGCUGUGGGUGGUCGAUUGAAGCAGGAACCCGGCGGCGGUGCUGAGGAGUUCGGGUCGGUGGCGAUGGAGA
rnacentral:lncRNA from 1 species